rnacentral:misc_RNA from 1 species
AUGCGAUACGUAGUGUGAAUUGCAGAAUUCAGUGAAUCAUCGAAUCUUUGAACGCACAUUGCGCCCUUUGGUAUUCCAAAGGGCAUGCCUGUUCGAGCGUCAUUUGUACCCUCAAGCUUUGCUUGGUGUUGGGCGUUUUUGUCUUUGGCCCGCCAAAGACUCGCCUUAAAAUGAUUGGCAGCCGGCCUACUGGUUUCGCAGCGCAGCACAUUUUUGCGCUUGCAAUCAGCAAAAGAGGACGGCAAUCCAUCAAGACUCCUUCUCACGUUUGACCUCGGAUCAGGUAGGGAUACCCGCUGAACUUAA